rnacentral:lncRNA from 1 species
UUGAUCGAGUUUACGUAUAACAACAGUUUCCAUUCGAGUAUUGGAAUGACACCUUUUGAGGCUCUUUAUGGUAGAAGGUGUAGAACUCCUUUGUGUUGGUACGAAUCGGGAGAGAGUGUUGUGGUUCGAGUUUACGUAUAACAACAGUUUCCAUUCGAGUAUUGGAAUGACACCUUUUGAGGCUCUUUAUGGUAGAAGGUGUAGAACUCCUUUGUGUUGGUACGAAUCGG